AGUGAACGCUGGCGGUAGGCCUAACACAUGCAAGUCGAACGGCAGCACAGGAGAGCUUGCUCUCUGGGUGGCGAGUGGCGGACGGGUGAGGAAUACAUCGGAAUCUACUCUGUCGUGGGGGAUAACGUAGGGAAACUUACGCUAAUACCGCAUACGACCUACGGGUGAAAGCAGGGGACCUUCGGGCCUUGCGCGAUUGAAUGAGCCGAUGUCGGAUUAGCUAGUUGGCGGGGUAAAGGCCCACCAAGGCGACGAUCCGUAGCUGGUCUGAGAGGAUGAUCAGCCACACUGGAACUGAGACACGGUCCAGACUCCUACGGGAGGCAGCAGUGGGGAAUAUUGGACAAUGGGCGCAAGCCUGAUCCAGCCAUACCGCGUGGGUGAAGAAGGCCUUCGGGUUGUAAAGCCCUUUUGUUGGGAAAGAAAUCCAGCUGGCUAAUACCCGGUUGGGAUGACGGUACCCAAAGAAUAAGUACCGGCUAACCUCGUGCCAGCCGCCGCGGUAA
rnacentral:rRNA from 1 species